CUUGCGACAAUGGAAAUAGACGCCCACUUUAUUGACUUGUGUUGACACGUGCUGACUCGGUCACCGCCCUCUGCACAAUGCCAGGCUCUGAAUCGCUGGUGUCUGUCCUGUCGGCCCAAGGACCGGCCUUUUCUGGAGCCAAUCCUCUCCCACCCUGGGAUGGGCGAAGGAGAAAGGAGGGGAGGUCGACAUGGUCUGCUGAAACACCCUGUUCGAGCUCGCCCGGGAGAUCGUCUGACCCACGUCCAGGCCACGCCCUGGUUCACGCGUCCCGUCUCGGAAGAAUGCCAGGCUUUGAAUCGCCGGUCUCUGUCCUGUCGACCCAAGGACUGGCCUUUUCUGGAGCCAAUCGUCUCCCACCCUGGGAUGGGCGAAGGGGAGGAGGAGGAGAAGAAGAAG